rnacentral:lncRNA from 13 species
AUGAGAGAGAAAGCUAUCACAGGAAACGUUGCAAGGUCAGCUAGGUUGCUCAGGGCAAUCCCCAUGAUAGAGUCUCCACAUCUCUCUGGGCAACCUGUACCAGUGCUGAACAUCUUCACCAAGGAAGUCGAUGUCAUGCCACAAACAGUCACUGACGGCGCAUGUUCAAGUUCUUGUCCACCGGGACACGCAGGUCCAUCUCUGUCAAGCUGCUUUGGAGCUGGUUGGUUCUCAGCUUGUGCUGGUUUAGGAGGCUCAUCAUCCUUGUGGCCAGGAUUUAACACUUUCCCUUCAGUGAACUUGAGCUUUGUGUCAGGCUGUUUCUCUAACUGCCAGGUCCUUCUGAGGGCACAACCAUCUGGUUUAUCAACCACUUCUCCCAACUUUUUGCCAAGUGAUGAACCUAAUUCCAAGCUCACUUGGAAGCAUAUUCAGAGAAUUGCAAAGGUGCCCUACCAUUUUUGA